ACUCUCUCCCUUCUCCCUCUAACUAAACUCGUAUAUCUAGUGUUUGUGCUGCGCAAAAAACGUGUUUACUCUCAGGCAGCGGAACGUGCGCGUGAAGAGGAAAAUAAGCUGUGGAUGAUCGCGAAUCGUGUACGAUGUUCUCGGAGACGAGAUAUAGAAAUCGCUUAUACGCCAUUAUGUAAGCUUCUUUACCGACUCUAUUUGCGGAACGGUCGUCCGUGUUCGAAGGUGAGAGGUACGCCGACCUUCUCUACAAUGUCCCACUAGAGGCGAGGAUCGAAUAGAGGCAGACCAGACACCAAGGCGGCCAGGGCCGAGAUACCGUUCGAUUUUCGAACGAUGACCAUUCUUUGCCUUCCAUGAUCGCAAACUGGUCACUGCCACGAGUCAAUUUUUUGAUUUUUUUUUUUUUGUAAUAAAGCGGAUGGACGUCGAUAAGUUUGUCGCUCGCCAUUUUAUCUCAUUUCUCCUAACGAAUGCAAUGAAUGUAUUAACGUGAAAUGUAAUAAAUCGAUGAAAAAUGGGUCGAGUUUAAUUUUUAAAAUUAAUAAUGUAAAAUUGUAAUGUUCUACGUAGAUCUUUCGUCAGUCAGAAAAAUCGUAAUAAAUUGAAAAUGUACGAAAUAAAUUACUUUGAGACAUAAUGUUAUUAGUUUCAAUUAAAGAAUGUAAUUUGUAGUAACUAUGUAAUGUGCCUUGCGAACCUGUUCGACUGAAAAACGAUAAGUCGAGAAGAAAGAAUAAAAUUUAUAUAUACAUGUAAAAAUAAAAGAUGUAGAAUAAAUUUUGUUAGCUUU